UUUUUUAAUAAUCUCAUGUUUCUAGAGCUGCCAUGGAGAAUGGAAGAGGAACUGGCAGCUCCGUCCACGUCUGCAGAGAAAACUGACAGUGUGGAUGUCGACGGGGAAGCCAAGAAACUACUGGGCCUAGGACAGAAACACCUGGUAAUGGGAGAUAUUCCAGCGGCUGUUAAUGCAUUCCAGGAAGCUGCUAGUUUAUUGGGUAAGAAAUAUGGCGAGACAGCGGACGAGUGUGCAGAAGCUUUUUUUUACUAUGGAAAGUCUCUUCUGGAAUUAGCAAGAAUGGAAAAUGGUGUGUUGGGAAACGCCUUGGAAGGAGUGCAAGUUGAAGAAGAAGGGGAGAAAACGGAAGAUGACUCAAUGGUAGAAAGUGCUGAUAACAUAGAUGAAGAAGCAAGGGAGGAGUUGAGAGAGCAGGUAUAUAACGCCAUGGGGGAAAAGGAAGAAUCCAAAAAAUCUGCAGAAGAGUCUCCAGCACUGACCGAAGGUGGGAAGGAAACUGGAGGAGAGGAUGUAGAAAUGGAAGAAGUACUGGAAGGAGAGGAGGUGGCUGCUGGCACAGAGACCAAGCCUAAAGAGGAGGUGGAAGAGCAGGCAGAGGCAGCUGUGAAGCCAGCAGAACCUGCAGAAGAGCAGGCAGAAGCAGCUCCAGAAGAGGAGGCGGGGGCAGAGGAGCAGAAGGCUGAUGCUGCAGAGAAGCAGGCAGAGAUGGCUUUGGAGAAAGUGGAGGCUGUGGGGGAGCAGGCGGCUGUAGCUGUGGAAAAGAAGGUAGUGGCAGAAGAGCCAGUGCCAGAGGCUGCAGGAGAGGAGGCAGCAGCAGCUGUGGAAGAGAAGGCAGAAGUUGCAGUAAAGGAGGCAGGGGCUGCUGUGGAAGAGAAGGCAGGCUCAGAAGAGCCCGUAGCAGACACUGCUGAAGAACAGGCUGUGGGUGCUAUGGAACAGAAGGAAGAGGCAGCCGCGGAGAAGGGGGAAGAGAAAGAAGAGCAGGCAGAGGCAGCUGCAGAGGAGAAAGUGGAAGACAAAGAAAAGCAGGCAGAGGCAGCUGAAGCAAAGGCAGAGGCAGCUCCGGAAGAGAAGCCACCUGAGGAGCCUGAAGAUACUCAGUCCUCAAAGGAAACGCCACCUGUAGCUGCAGAUGUCGCUGCACCUGGAGAGGAUGGGGAGCCCUUCGACAAAACGCAAACAGAAGCCAAAGUUGAAGUAGGUGCUAAGGGACCACAAGAAGAUGAGAAAGAUGACCUGAUGGAAGCGGAAGGCUCUAAGGUAGAAAAAGAAGAGAGAGAGGACCUGUUGGAAGAGGGAGAAGAAACAGAAGGAUCAGAAGAUGAUGAUAAAGAAAACGAAAAAGCUGAAGAGGAUAAGGAAAAUGAAUCUGCAGUUGAAGACAAGUCUGCUCAGGAAAGCGAAGAGGAUGAAGUUGGGAAUCUGGAGCUAGCUUGGGAUAUGCUGGAGUUGGCCAAGGUCAUCUAUAAAAGACAGGAAACAAAAGAAGCUCAGCUCCUGGCUGCUCAAGCUCACCUAAAACUAGGAGAAGUCAGCGUCGAAUCUGAAAACUACGUGCAAGCUAUAGAGGAGUUCCAGGCCUGCCUCGCCCUACAGCAGAAGUACCUAGAGGUGCACGACCGCCUGCUAGCAGAGACUCACUACCAGCUGGCUCUGGCGUACCACUACAACAGCCAGUUCGAUGAGGCUGUUCUGCAGUUCAGUAAAUCUGUAGAAGUCAUUGACAAGAGACUGGUGAUGCUGACCGAACGGGUAAAGAAAGCAGGAGGAGGAUCUGCUCAAGAUGAGAAGGAGAUCGAGGAGCUGAAGGGACUGCUUCCUGAAAUAAAGGAGAAGAUAGAUGACUCGAAGGAGUCUCAGAGGAGCGCGGGAGUAGCUGAACUGGCUUUGAAGGCAACUCUGGUUAGUGGAACUACUUCUGGCUUCACACAGAGCGGAGGAAGUGUUUCCGCUUCCCCAAUUCCAGUAAGAAAACCGGCUGAUGGAGCGUCUCAGUGUGUUUCAGACAUCUCCCACCUUGUCAGGAAAAAGAGGAAACCAGAGGAGGAGACUCAGCAGGGAGACAAUGAAGCUAAGAAAUCUAAACCCGAGCCGGCUGUCAAUGGCGGUGGUGAUGCUGCCCCCAGUGGAAAUGAGGUUGCAGAAAAAAUGGAAGAGGAGGUGGGCAGUUGAGUCAGGAGUCGGGGCCACGCGUGUUCCUUCUCGGGGCAGGCACGCGCUCACGCCUGCUCGCUGUAACCCUUUUUACUUUUAUUGCCUGCAUGUUCCCCACAAGACAGAGAAAAGGCCACAGGUGGAAGCAGGGGCUGCAGUUGAAAGUACAGUAUGAUAGUUCUCCAACGUGGGACACUCCUCUUCUCCCAAGGAAAACGAUUUUGUAUAUAGUGUAUUUUUUCACUUUUUGGCAACUUUUGUAUGACUCCCAAUAAAGA